CUUCACCGAGCCCAGCCACAAGGGCUCGUCCUCCGUGCGCGCCUGACCGUACGUCGCCAGCAGCCCCUGCGCCUC
rfam:Streptomyces hygroscopicus ATCC 53653 genomic scaffold supercont1.1, whole genome shotgun sequence.